rnacentral:ncRNA from 1 species
GGCUCGGGAGCAAACCUGUGGGAGGGUUUGCAGGAAUAGAGCCACACCCCAUUUCGCAAGCGGCCGGCGGCUGAUGCCCAACAGCCUGCCCG